UCUCUUAUCUCUUUUCCUUCUCUUUCCCUCUCUAGACAAAGAAAGGCUUGAAGCUUGUGUUGACAGCCUUGGAGGAUUUGUGGGCUGAUGAAGAAACCUGAGCCAAGUAUAUUAUUCCUGCUGAUCGGAGUUACUACAAGACCUGGAACAACAACUAAUCAAGGACUUGAGAACUGAAGUCUUGUUGUUGUUGCUACCGAAAGGAAGGAAGGGACCAGUUGAUGCAGUAAGCAAGCAAUUUAGCAUCUGAUCAAGCUAGUAGUAGCAGAAUUGAAGUUGUGGGUUGUUGGAGCAGCAAGCUUGUGCUGUUGGUGUUGUUGGUGUUGCCGAAAUUCAGGAUUGAGCCACACGAUGCAGUGAACUAGUAAAUUCAGCAGCAAACUAAGCUUGGUAAUUAUGGGCUAAUUCGAGCUGCUGAAUAGAAAUUUCAGCAAGGGAGCAAUUUAGGAAUUGAUGGAAUUAAGUUAAUGGUGAAGUGAAGUUAACAAGUUGAUACUUCAGUUUGGUAGAUUUUCUUGGUGUUCAGAGCUGAAAAGAAGCCUAAAGGAGAGCUUCAAAUUAAGGUCGACGACGCGCUAUUUACGGUAGGGGCCGUUCUAGUGCUAUUUGCACUGAGUCGCGAGAGAUAGUUGUCAACGCAUUCCGGGAUAUUGAUCUCAGUUAAUUGACACCACUUCAGCUUGGUGGUGGUAGCUCCCCCGAGGCAGUGUACUCCGGAGCUGACACAUGAUAGGCUAAAGUAAUUGCCCUUGGACUAAAGUAUCUAUCCAGCAGACGGUCCCGUCGGGAGGCAGCUUAGGGCCCGCCAGGAAUUGAGUUGGUUCCAGUGCGAGCGUUGUGGCCGAGGAUCGAGGUAAGAGCCAGCAGCCUAGCUAGUGGACGCCCGAGUUGUAGUGGUUACCAGUUUGAGUUCAUGUAUCAUCUAUUUCGGUGUACAGAGACAUGUAAAUGAAUGUAAUAAGUGCAUGUAAAUAACUAAAUGUUUCAGUUAUGCAAGUUAGUUUAAAGUUUUAAAUUA